GUACUCUCUUUGGCAGCACAUAUACCAAAAUUGAAAUGACACAGAGAAGAUUAGCACGGCCCCUGAGCAAGAAUGACAUGCGAAUUUGUGAGGUGUUCCAUAUUUUU
ensembl:snRNA U6 U6 spliceosomal RNA